UGCGUAGGUGGUUAUGUAUGUCGGAUGUGAAAGCCCAUGGCUCAACCAUGGAAUGGCAUUCGAAACUGCAAAACUUGAGUGUAGGAGAGGAGAGCGGAAUUCUUGGUGUAGCGGUGAAAUGCGUUGAUAUCAAGAAGAACACCGGCGGCGAAGGCGGCUCUCUGGAAUACAACUGACACUGAGGCACGAAAGCUAGGGGAGCGAACAGGAUUAGAUACCCUGGUAGUCC
rnacentral:rRNA from 1 species